rnacentral:lncRNA from 10 species
UAAGGAACAAUAAAGUAAGAAAAAUAGCUCAAUUAGCACUAAAAAUCAGUGAGGAGUGGAACUCCCUGAGUCAUUCCUCUGCCUGAAGCCCUGCUUUGAUGUGUUUAAGAGUCCAGUAGAACCGAAAGUUCAUAAAGUGGUGUAUACUUGUAUAGCUUUUGAAGGAACUCAAGAAACGUCACCCAGAAAUAUCCCACAUUGGUCUGCUGAUUACUUCAAACUGAGGGAACUUUGGGAACAGCAAAUGCAGGGAGAGACUUUCUCUGAACUUACAUCAUUUGCCUAAAGAUGGAUCCUACAAAAGGAAUGAAAUGGUAAUGAAUCCCCUUCCCAGGAAUUUUAUUAACCAGGGUCAGGGGAUUAACUUGGACCACAAGAGAGGAGACGAGAGGGCAACACAACAUCCCAAAACCAUUUACUCUCCUUUAAGUAGCCUAUAUCCUUCCUCCCCUCUCUCCUAUGAAAAGGGGAUAUAAGCUUUUAUACCUCACCGGGUUUGGGGGUAUUCACUUUUAUUUCAUGUGAUAUCCCUGUGCACAUAAUGAAUUUGUACACCUCUUAGUCUGCCUGCUAUCAAUUUAUUUCAUAGACUCAAUUAUCAAAUCCUCAGAAAGAAGAGGGAAAGUCUUUCUUCCCAAACACUUUCAACCUCCAAAUCAAGAAACUCCCUAAAUCCAGUUGACUAUUAAAUGACACCAGUUCAUACUGUGCAUGAUUACUUAUACGAAGAUUUUCUUCUGCUAUGCUGCUCCUGAAUCACCAAGACCAACUCCUCCUCUUCAGCCUACUCAGUAUGAAGACAACAAGGAUGAAGACUUUUAAUGAUGAUCUACUUCCACUUUAUGAAUAGGAAAUAUAUGUCCUUUCAUAUGGUUUUCUUAAUAACAUUUUUUAUCUAUUUUAUUGUAAGAAUAAACU